rnacentral:rRNA from 1 species
ACUCCUACGGGAGGCAGCAGUGGGGAAUAUUGCACAAUGGGGGAAACCCUGAUGCAGCCAUGCCGCGUGUGUGAAAAAGUCCGUUCGGGUUGGUUAAAGACAUNUUUUCAGCAAGGGUGAGGAAAGUGGGUAAUGUUAACACCUAUAUNUCAUUUGACGUUAGCCUUACCAGAAAAGGCAAGCACCGGCUAACUCCGUGCCAGCAGCCGCGGUAAUACGGAGGGUGCGAGCGUUAAUCGGAAUUACUGGGCGUAAAGCGCAUGCAGGCGGCCUUGUUAAGUCAGAUGUGAAAGCCCGGGGCUUAACCUCGGAAUUU